AUUGAGCGCUGGCGGCAUGCCUUACACAUGCAAGUCGAACGGCAGCAUGGGUGCUUGCACCUGAUGGCGAGUGGCGAACGGGUGAGUAAUGCAUCGGAACGUACCCGGAAGUGGGGGAUAACGUAGCGAAAGUUACGCUAAUACCGCAUAUUCUGUGAGCAGGAAAGUGGGGGAUCGCAAGACCUCGCGCUUCCGGAGCGGCCGAUGUCGGAUUAGCUAGUUGGCGGGGUAAAGGCCCACCAAGGCAACGAUCCGUAGCGGGUCUGAGAGGAUGAUCCGCCACACUGGGACUGAGACACGGCCCAGACUCCUACGGGAGGCAGCAGUGGGGAAUUUUGGACAAUGGGGGCAACCCUGAUCCAGCCAUGCCGCGUGAGUGAAGAAGGCCUUCGGGUUGUAAAGCUCUUUCGGCCGGGAAGAAAUCGCACAGGUUAAUACCUUGUGUGGAUGACGGUACCGGAAUAAGAAGCACCGGCUAACUACGUGCCAGCAGCCGCGGUAAAAC
rnacentral:rRNA from 1 species